UACAGAGGUCUCAAGCGUUGUUCGGAUUCAUUGGGCGUAAAGGGUGCGUAGGCGGCGUCGUAAGUCAGGUGUGAAAUCUCGGGGCUUAACUCCGAAACUGCAUUCGAUACUGCCGUGCUUGAGGACUGGAGAGGAGACUGGAAUUUACGGUGUAGCGGUGAAAUGCGUAGAUAUCGUAAGGAAGACCAGUGGCGAAGGCGGGUCUCUGGACAGUUCCUGACGCUGAGGCACGAAGGUCAGGGGAGCAAACGGG
rnacentral:rRNA from 1 species